UCCAACCUCGUUCCCAGGCUCUUUCCUCUUGUCUUUGCUCCACAAGAGGAAAGAGCCUGGGAACGAGGUUGCAUGU
rnacentral:miRNA from 1 species